GACGAACGCUGGCGGCGUGCUUAACACAUGCAAGUCGAACGGAAAGGCCCUGCUUUUGUGGGAUGCUCGAGUGGCGAACGGGUGAGUAACACGUGAGUAACCUGCCCUUGACUUUGGGAUAACUUCAGGAAACUGGGGCUAAUACCGGAUAGGAGCUCCUGCUGCAUGGUGGGGGUUGGAAAGUUUCGGCGGUUGGGGAUGGACUCGCGGCUUAUCAGCUUGUUGGUGGGGUAGUGGCUUACCAAGGCUUUGACGGGUAGCCGGCCUGGGAGGGUGACCGGCCACAUUGGGACUGGGAUACGGCCCGGACUCCUCCGGGAGGAAGAGGUGGGGAAUUUUGCACAAGGGGCGGAACCCUAAUGCAGCACCGCCGCGUGCGGGAUGACGGCCUUGGGGUGGUAAACCGCUUUCGCCUGUGACGAAGUGUGAGUGACGGUAAUGGGUAAAGAAGCACCGGCUAACUACGUG
rnacentral:rRNA from 1 species